GUCAAUAGAAAAAGGAAAUGACAUUGUCUUCUCAGUUUCACAUUGGGUAGAUGUCAAUAGAAAAAGGAAAUGACAUUGUCUUCUCAGUUCCACAUUGGGUAGAUGUCAAUAGAAAAAGGAAAUGACAUUGUCUUCUCAGUUUCACAUUGGGUAGAUGUCAAUAGAAAAAGGAAAUGACAUUGUCUUCUCAGUUUCACAUUGGGUAGAUGUCAAUAGAAAAAGGAAAUGACAUUGUCUUCUCAGUUCCACAUUGGGUAGAUGUCAAUAGAAAAAGGAAAUGACAUUGUCUUCUCAGUUCCACAUUGGGUAGAUGUCAAUAGAAAAAGGAAAUGACAUUGUCUUCUCAGUUCCACAUUGGGUAGAUGUCAAUAGAAAAAGGAAAUGACAUUGUCUUCUCAGUUCCACAUUGGGUAGAUGUCAAUAGAAAAAGGAAAUGACAUUGUCUUCUCAGUUCCACAUUGGGUAGAUGUCAAUAGAAAAAGGAAAUGACAUUGUCUUCUCAGUUCCACAUUGGGUAGAUGUCAAUAGAAAAAGGAAAUGACAUUGUCUUCUCAGUUCCACAUUGGGUAGAUGUCAAUAGAAAAAGGAAAUGACAUUGUCUUCUCAGUUCCACAUUGGGUAGAUGUCAAUAGAAAAAGGAAAUGACAUUGUCUUCUCAGUUCCACAUUGGGUAGAUGUCAAUAGAAAAAGGAAAUGACAUUGUCUUCUCAGUUCCACAUUGGGUAGAUGUCAAUAGAAAAAGGAAAUGACAUUGUCUUCUCAGUUCCACAUUGGGUAGAUGUCAAUAGAAAAAGGAAAUGACAUUGUCUUCUCAGUUCCACAUUGGGUAGAUGUCAAUAGAAAAAGGAAAUGACAUUGUCUUCUCAGUUCCACAUUGGGUAGAUGUCAAUAGAAAAAGGAAAUGACAUUGUCUUCUCAGUUCCACAUUGGGUAGAUGUCAAUAGAAAAAGGAAAUGACAUUGUCUUCUCAGUUCCACAUUGGGUAGAUGUCAAUAGAAAAAGGAAAUGACUCUGAAAUAAUAAAAUAUCAGUUGUGUAUAUUACUUAAUUUUUAAUUCCUUCGUCAUUUUAUCUCUGUUCAGGAAGUAGCAGCCAACCAUCUAACGUUAUCCCUGUGCUCCCUAUAGUGCACGGUCUUUGUCAUCCUAUUUAGCUAGAUAGUAGGGAUGUGCACGGUUAUUCGAAUAUACGAACUGACGUUAGUAUUCAAGUACUGUUGAGUAUAAAUGCUUUUUCUAAAUAAAAUGUAAACAUCCAUGUUACGUACAAGGAUUUACCAUUAUAUUUCAAAUGAUUAAUUUAAUAAAACAACUUUUCAAUAUAGUUUUUAUGAUAUGCCACAUAAGAAGACCGGUAGCCUUCAUGUGUAGGUUGUUUGUUGGCCAAUCAAAGUGUAGCAAGUGGAGCGCAAAUUCACCAAUGCAAGAAGUAAUUAGAAUUAUGUAAUUAAAAGUUUGCGAAAUGAUGAGUAGGCUACAAAGAGCAACCAACAGGUAAGCUGUUUUAGCUGAAUGGGUUUGGGGAGAUAGCUUACCUAGCUAAAGGUUGCUAGCUUAGUCAAGACAGGCACUGUUAUAAUGAUAAAUGGAUGAUAAAUAACAUUGGUUGCUACAAGUUAGGUACAGUCAUGGUCAAAAGUUUUGACAAUGACACAAAUAUUAAUUUCCACAAAGUUUGCUGCUUCAGUGUCUUUAGAUAUUUUUGUCAGAUGUUACUAUGGAAUACUGAAGUAUAAUUACAAGCAUUUCAUAAGUGUCAAAGGCUUUUAUUGACAAUUACAUGAAGUUGAUGCAGAUUCAAUAUAUGCAGUGUUGACCCUUUUUCAAGACCUCUGCAAUCCACCCUGGCAUGCUGUCAAUUAACUUUUGGGCCACAUCCUGACUGAUGGCAGCCCAUUCUUGCAUAAUCGAUGCUUUGAGUUUGUCAGAAUUUGUGGGGUUUGUCUACCUGGUACUUGAGGAUUGACCACAAGUUCUCAAUGGGAUUAAGGUCUGGGGAGUUUCCUGGCCAUGGACCCAAAAUAUCGAUGUUUUGUUCCCCGAGCCACUUAGUUAUCACUUUUUCCUUGUGGCAAGGUGAUCCAUCAUGCUGGAAAAGGCAUUGUUCGUCACCAAACUGUUCCUGGAUGGUUGGGAGAAGUUGCUCUCAGAGGAUGUGUUGGUACCAUUCUAUUCAUUCAUGGUUGUGUUCUUAGGCAAAAUUGUGAGUGAGCCCACUCCCUUGGCCGAGAAGCAACCCCACACAUGAAUGGUCUCAGGAUGCUUUACUGUUGGCAUGACACAGGACUGAUGGUAGCGCUCACCUUGUCUUCUCCGGACAAGCUUUCCAGAUGCCCCAAACAAUCGGAAAGGGAAUUCAUCAGAGAAAAUGACUUUACCCCAGUCCUCAGCAGUCCAAUCCCUGUACCUUUUGCAGAACAUCAGUCUGUCCCUGAUGUUUUUCCUGGAGAGAAGUGGCUUCUUUGCUGCCCUUCUUGACACCAGGCCAUCCUCCAAGUCUUUGCUUCACUGCGUGCAGUUGCACUCACACCUGCCUGCUGCCAUUCCUGAGCAAGCACUGUUCUGGUGGUGCCCCGAUCCCGCAGCUGAAUCUACUUUAGGAGAUGGUCCUGGCGCUUGCUGGACUUUCUUGGGCGGCCUGAAGCCUUCUUCACAACAAUUGAACCGCUCUCCUUGAAGUUCUUGAUGAUACGAUAAAUGGUUGAUUUAGGUGCAAUCUUACUGGCAGCAAUAUCCUUGCCUGUGAAGCCCUUUUUGUGCAAAGCAAUGAUGACGGAACGUGUUUCCUUGCAGGUAACCAUGUUUGACAGAGGAAGAACAAUGAUUCCAAGCACCACCUUCCUCUUGAAGCUUUGGGUGGUUAUUCAAACUCAAUCAGCAUGACAGAGUGAUCUCCAGCCUUGUCCUCGUCAACACUCACACCUGUGUUAAUGAGAGAAUCACUGACAUGAUGUCAAGCUGGUCCUUUUGUGGCAGGGCUGAAAUGCAGUGGAAAUGUUUUUUGGGGAUUCAGUUCAUUUGCAUGGCAAAGAGGAUCACUCUUCAUAACAUUCUGGAGUAUAUGCAAAUUGCACCAUACAAACUGAGGCAGCAGACUUUGAAAAUUAAUAUUUGUGUCAUUCUCAAAACUGUUGACUGUAGUCUUGGCUGUAACAUUAGCUGAGUUGCCUUGGCUAACUGAGUCUCCCUCCGUCUGCUUGCAAUCUCUUCGGCCUCUCAAUAGCUACAAUAGAGCCCGAGCGUCUCUCCCUCCUGCAGCAGUGCUCAGGUCAAACACAUAUUUCACAAUUAUUCAUGAUACCAUUCGAAUAGUGAAAUUAUUUCUAACCCUCAUCGCUAGUAGCUGCAGAGCUGUCUGACCAUCAUUUUACUAGUUAUUCAAAGUACUUCAAAGUAUGGCGGGCGUUAUUCCGUAGUUUAUGAUAUACCGGUAUUGAUGCAGGGACCGGUUUGGGAUUUUACUUUACCUUCUAUACCGGUAUUUGAAUGUUUGAUUUUUUUAACGUGAUACGCCAUGUGUAGUGUCAAUUUUUAUAGUUUUACAUCGCUACUUGAGUCAUCGCUCUCCGCUCUUUCUCUCCGUGUCACUUUCCACAGACCUAGCCCCGCCCCCUGUCACUCAAGGAACGCAUCCUCAACCAUGAGACACGCGUUCAGUCUGCAUGGUGAAUGCAGCACAUGCAACAAAGUUGAUGACGACAAUGCCGUGCUUCUUAAUGAAUAUAAAUACACUAGCGUUCCAUAAUGACAUUAUUCGUUUGUUUCUUACAGCAGCAAAGCAACGUUUUAGCAAGUUGCCCUAAAUCCUGUGAGACGCUUACUGUUAGCCGCUAAUAGGUAGCUAAUAAAUGUACUGCGUAAGAGCAAAUGUAGCUAGCCUGAUAAUACCAGUGAUGGGGUAGACUUAAACUUAAACCAUCAUGUUUGCAACAGUAUCUUCUAAAUCAAAGAGGAAUAUGCAAAGCAAUAAUAUGUUACCUACAUGUAGCUAAGAGAGAACAUGCAAUGUUUGCCCGUGCAUAUUGGGUCCCCUAGGAAACACGUAUUAACACUUUAGUUCCUACCCUGUCACGAUAACUCAUCCCUGGCAUUUUCAUUUGUUGUCAUCUCAAACAACACUGUAUUCAGUGCCCACUGUUAUAUUUUAACUAUAGAAUUAGAACUGUCAUUCUAUUUACAUGAUUCCAACAGUUUUACUCUAAUUCGCAAGUCAAAUUGCAUUUGUAACAUUUGGUUAAAAAUUGCACAUAUCAUGCAGCCCUAUGUGGAAAUUAUUUGUGUAAAAAUACUUUCA